UACGUAGGCAGCGAGCGUUGUUCGGAAUUACUGGGCGUAAAGAGUGCGUAGGCGGUUCGGCAAGUCUGGUGUGAAAUCUCCCGGCUUAACUGGGAGGGUGCGCUAGAAACUGCCGAGCUAGAGUGUGGGAGAGGAAAGUGGAAUUCCUGGUGUAGCGGUGAAAUGCGUAGAUAUCAGGAGGAACACCUGCGGUGUAGACGGCUUUCUGGACCACUACUGACGCUGAGGCACGAAAGCGUGGGGAGCAAACAGG
rnacentral:rRNA from 1 species